GAGCGCGUUCGAUGCUCUGAUUGGUCGGUGAGAAUUAAUCAACCAAUCAGAGUAUCGAACGCGCUC
rnacentral:pre_miRNA from 1 species